CAGCGUCUGUGAUGUUUCACAAUUACCUACAUUGUUCGACCCCCGUGAGAACAACCCUGGCUGAGACGCCG